UACGUAGGGGGCGAGCGUUGUCCGAAGUUACUGGGCGUAAAGAGCGCGUAGGCGGGUCUUUAAGUGAGGGGUGAAAGGUUCGGGCUCAACCCGGACACUGCCUUUCAUACUGGAGACCUUGAGUGCGGGAGGGGCGAGUGGAAUGGUCGGUGUAGCGGUGAAAUGCGUAGAUAUCGAUCGGAACACCCAUGGCGAAGGCAGCUCGCUGGCCUGCAACUGACGCUGAGGCGCGAAAGCGUGGGGAGCGAACAGG
rnacentral:rRNA from 1 species